rnacentral:lncRNA from 10 species
GAGGGAGGUGUAGGCCGAGGCAGAGUGACACUCAUCAGGUGGCUAUUGGAAGCUGUGAUCAUGGGUAAAAUCAUAUCCCUUUAGGGGCAUUUGUGGAGAGAUGAGGAUGGAGACACAAACUUUUGGAACAAGGUCAAGACAUAGAAGUGAUGGCUAGAAAAAGAUGUGGCAAAUCCAGAAAGGGGGCAUCACAGAAAACUGGGGAGCAAAAUAGGAAAUUGCUCACAACAUCAAAGCCAAUAGGUCCAAGAAGAUGGGAGUUGAAAAGUGUUUACUGGCCUUAGCAACCAGGAGAUGACUGGUGAGAGGAGUGGAAUGUGGAGGUGACCCUCAGACUGCAGCAGGCGAGGGGUGCAUAGGGCAGCUACAGCGCA